UACAGAGGGUGCGAGCGUUAAUCGGAAUUACUGGGCGUAAAGCGUGCGUAGACGGUCAUGUAAGUCGGGUGUGAAAGCCCCGGGCUCAACCUGGGAAUUGCAUUCGAGACUGCAUGGCUAGGAUGCGGAAGAGGGAAGCGGAAUUUCCGGUGUAGCGGUGAAAUGCGUAGAUAUCGGAAGGAACACCAGUGGCGAAAAGCGGCUUCCUGGUCCAGCAUCGACGUUCAGGCACGAAAGCGUGGGGGAGCAAACAGG
rnacentral:rRNA from 1 species